CAGGAAGUCCCACCCCUAUCUAGGAGCCACUGCCAACAGAUAUUCUAUCUCCCUCCCCUCCGUGAAAGAAUGCCUCCAUAGAGCUUCUUCUGUUUGUCCCUUACACGUCUGCAGAGCAACAUAUGAUAUAAAGACACAGUACGUCCCUGAUCUCAAGGAAAUCCAUGGUACCGAGACAAGCCUGGUGGGCAAACCUGAGGAACUCUCUCAAUGACUCUGUGGGAAGAAUCAGAAUGCACAAUUCUGUCUUCAGCAGCAGACGUGCCUACGUCUUGGAGUUUGUGAGACAACACCGUCAUCUACAUAGCUCGCCCUGGAGAGCUUCAGAGACAAGUUAUAAAAAAUAAAUCA
rnacentral:sRNA from 1 species